rnacentral:rRNA from 1 species
UACGGAGGGUCCAAGCGUUAUCCGGAAUCAUUGGGUUUAAAGGGUCCGUAGGCGGGCCAGUAAGUCAGUGGUGAAAUCUCCCGGCUCAACCGGGAAAUGGCCAUUGAUACUGCUGGUCUUGAAUUAUUGGGAAGUAACUAGAAUAUGUAGUGUAGCGGUGAAAUGCUUAGAGAUUACAUGGAAUACCAAUUGCGAAGGCAGGUUACUAUCAAUAUAUUGACGCUGAUGGACGAAAGCGUGGGUAGCGAACAGG